CGCACAAGUAUAAAAUACAACCACAUACAUAUACAAACUAUAUGCAAUCACCACAUCACAAUAUUAUGUUCAUAAAUUCACAUCUAUUAGUUUAAAAAUAUUUUCCAUCGGAAAACUCAUUUUGAAAUAUUAGAAUCAUGAAAGCGAAAAAUCCUUUUUAAAACUGUUUCCCACACUGAAACAUUUUCUUUAAAACGCUACUACAAGUUUUUUACAAUUUUACAUGAAAACCAUCAGUACUUUAUUUAACUUCACAAAUAUAUAUAUAUAUAUAUAUAUAUAUAUAUAUAUAUAUAUAUCCAACUAAAAUAAAAUCAACUGAACCAUAAAAUGUCUAAGUGAAAAUAGUAAGAAUAGCAACUAAACCAAUUCAACCGGGUAGGAAGCUCUAUCGAUCGCUACUAACGUGUCUAACGCCUCAUCUCAACCCUUACUGUCUGCAUCACUUGAAAAAUUGUGGGGAGGUGAGAAUAUGUACACAUGUCUCCCCUCCCAGUAGGUAUCGCAAGCCGACGGGGGCGAGGGGUACUCACCAGUCAAGGAAGAUAACUAAGGCUUCGUUUGGUUCGGGUAUAAGCAAGAACAAGUUAUGCCGGGGAUAGGUACAAGAAUGGAUUUUCGUAGGAACAAGAGUAUUUUUUGUUUAGAUGAAAAUGUUGGUAUAAGCUGGAACUAAAAAAAUUAUGUUUGGAUGAAAAUGUGAGUAUAAGGUGGAAUAGUUGAUAGUUAUAGAUAAAAAAUAGUGAUUUUACCCCUAUAAUUGAAUUUAAAAUUUUAAACUUAUAAUUUUAAAUUAAAAAUUUUAACUUUUAAAUUUUAAAAUUUGAAAUUAAAAUUUAAAAUUUUAAUUUUAAAAUUUAAAAUUUAAAAGUUAAAAUUUUUAAUUUAAAAUUAUAAAUUUAAAUAUUAAAAAACUAAAUUAUAAAUUUUAGAAAUUUAAAUUUUUUUUAAAAAAAUAUCUCUCUCUCUCUCUCUCUCUCUCUCUCUACCCGGGAGGGGUGGAACAAGUUGUGGGUGGAACAAGCUGUUCCACCCUUGGGGUGGAACAGCUUGUUCCAACCCAACCCGGUACAAGAGGGCUUGUACCGGGUUGGGGUGGAACAAUUGUUCCACCACCCCCAAAUUUGUGUUUGGGUACAAGAGGGGGGAUAACCCCCUUAUCCUUAUCCCCCCUCUUGUACCCAAUCCAAACACACACUAAAAGAAUAAACAACAGUAAUACAGUAGCAACGAUAAAUAAAGAAACAGGAUAUACAUAAAUCACUAUCGCUAUGUAUGCAUACAUCAACCGGACGAUAAGUCCAAAAGUACCCAAUCAGAAACCUGCCAUAUCGGUCCGCAGACCUCAAGCCUAUGCCACUGCCACUCUACCUGCAUAUAACCCAGACUAGGCCAUCGAGCUCACGGGUUGGCACGUCCAACCACUUUUCCGGAAAAGAACACCCCCCCCUACAGUGGAUCGUGAAAUGCGUACGACUAGUGGCAAUCGAUGCUGAUAUGCUCAAUAGCCAACCGUUGGCAACUAGCCAACAAUCCUAACCCUCAUAAUAUACCGACCGUGUAGGUCACCAAGUAGUCGAACCAACCAAAUAGGUCACAAUCCCAGAUACAAUGAACCCACCAAAUAGGUCACGAUGCCAGGAACAAGGAACCGACCGACUAGGUCACAGAUCUCACGUAUAAUCACAAAUCCGCUCUACUUCUAAAUCAUGAAACUUAAUAUGCAACUAACCAAGUAAAGCAAUAAAGAGAUAAUGUCACGCCCUAGACUUCAGCGAAAGCUUACCAGUUACGUGCACAAACCCGCCGUGUACACCACAACCUCAAGUGUACACCAGGCGUCUACAAACAAUAUAGCAAAAGCAUAAUAUUCUAACCAAGUAAUCAGCGCAAGAAACUUAAAAGUUUAUAAGCUUGCAUGCCUGCAGGUCGACUCUAGAGGAUCCCCGGGUACCGAGCUCGAAUUCGCCCUAUAGUGAGUCGUAUUACAAUUNACUGUUUCCCACACUGAAACAUUUUCUUUAAAACGCUACUACAAGUUUUUUACAAUUUUACAUGAAAACCAUCAGUACUUUAUUUAACUUCACAAAUAUAUAUAUAUAUAUAUAUAUAUAUAUAUAUAUAUAUAUAUCCAACUAAAAUAAAAUCAACUGAACCAUAAAAUGUCUAAGUGAAAAUAGUAAGAAUAGCAACUAAACCAAUUCAACCGGGUAGGAAGCUCUAUCGAUCGCUACUAACGUGUCUAACGCCUCGUCUCAACCCUUUCUGUCUGCAUCACCUGAAAAAUAGUGGGGAGGUGAGAACAUGUACACAUGUCUCCCCUCCCAGUGGGUACCGCAAGCCGACGGGGGAGAGGGGUACUCACCAGUCAAGGAGGAUAACUAAGGCUUCGUUUGGUUCGGGUAUAAGCAAGAACAAGUUAUGCCGGGGAUAGGUACAAGAAUGGAUUUUCGUAGAAAUAAGGGUAUUUUUUUGUUUAGACGAAAAUGUGGGUAUAAGCUGGAACUAGAAAAAUUAUGUUUGGAUGAAAAUGUGAGUAUAAGGUGGAAUAGUUGGUAGUUAUAGAUAAAAAAUAGUGAUUUUACCCCUAUAAUUGAAUUUAAAAUUUUAAACUUAUAAUUUUAAAUUAAAAAUUUUAAAUUUUAAAUUUUAAAAUUUGAAAUUAAAAUCAAAAUUUUUAAUUUUUAAAAUUUAAAUCUUAAAUAUCAAAUUUUAAAUUUAAGAUCAAAUUUAAAUAUGAAAGAUAUAAAAUAUCAAAUUUUAAAAUUUUAAUCUAAAAAAAUUAAAUUUAAAAUUUAAAAAUUAAAAAUAUCAAAUUUAUAAUUUAAACAUUAAAAUUAUAAUUUAAAAUUAUAAAUUUAAAUUUUAAAAA
rnacentral:lncRNA from 1 species